CCUACGGGAGGCUGCAGUAAGGAAUAUUGGUCAAUGGGCGCAAGCCUGAACCAGCCAUGCCGCGUGCAGGAAGACGGCCUACGGGUUGUAAACUGCUUUUAUACUGGAAUAUGUACAGUAAGAAUAAGGAUCGGCUAACUCCGUGCCAGCAGCCGCGGUAAUACGGAGGAUCCAAGCGUUAUCCGGAUUUAUUGGGUUUAAAGGGUGCGUAGGCGGCCAAUUAAGUCAGGGGUGAAAGACGGUAGCUUAACUAUCGCAGUGCCUUUGAUACUGAUUGGCUUGAAUGUACUUGAGGUAGGCGGAAUGUGACAAGUAGCGGUGAAAUGCAUAGAUAUGUCACAGAACACCAAUUGCGAAGGCAGCUUACUAAGUUGAUUGACGCUGAGGCACGAAAGCGUGGGGAUCAAACAGGAUUAGAUACCCUUGUAGUC
rnacentral:rRNA from 1 species